ensembl:lncRNA
AGGCUCUGCCAAACAUAAGUGAUCCACGAUGGUUACUCAAAGCGGCGUAGGAAGAAGCCUGGAAGGGGAGGCAAGGGAUGCGGAUUCUACUGCUCGCUUGAGCUGGACCGUGCCUCCUUAAGAUUUCCUGAGAGUAGACACCUAAGGAAACGGAAGUUUGUAAGAGGACUAAAAGCAAAGUGGUUAACCCCUCUUGCUAAAUAUAAUCCCCCCACUCAAAGCAAGCAAGCCAACAAACAAUGCGUUUACGUACCUCCUAUACAAAGGGGGCCUCAAACCCGGAAGCCACCGGAUUCAGCGAGAGGCAGCAUAGAUCAGGGAUAAGAACAUAGCCCGAGGCUCACCUUUCACUGCAACCAAGAAGAUGUAUAACCUUGAGUGAGACACCUAAUUUCUCUAUGGCUCCUUUCUGCAUGGAUAAGGUUAAACUAGGAAAAACACCAAAUUCUUGAUUGUGAGGAAUUUUUCAACAGAGAAUAAAAGACCAUAAAUGCCCAUGAGCCACCCUGCCUCGGAAAGCCAGAGAGCCCCUGGAUUAAAGUUUGCAAAUUAGAGGAUGAGUCGAAACAUCUGAAAAUGGGUGACAAGGCAAACUUUAUACAACAAACGACAGAGCUAUGUAACUACGUGAAAAUAGAGAAAUAGCUGGAUAAAAAGAGCCAUGUGAAUGAUGGAUGGACGCACAGAUGGAUGCAUGAGAAGGAAGGAAAUAAGGAAGAAAGGGAGAAAGGAAGGAAGAAAACAGACCAAAAUGUUGUUGUAGUUGAUCUCCGGGUGGCAGAGAGCUUCACUUUUACUUAAGACGAGUAACAAAAGAGAACAAUGGGCACUGGCAGCAGUGACGUCUUGGUGUGGAGAAAUCAGCAACCAGCCUCAGACGGGCAGACUUCCUUAUCCUACCAGGAACUCGCAGAAAGGAACAGUUUCCAUCUUCCACUUUAAAGGCAAAAGAGCAGUUUUGACCCUAUGUAUAUAUCACAGUGCAUUCUGGCUUCUACUGGGGCAGAAACUUCCCCGAAACCCUACAAGGGCAGCUGUUUCUCAUUAAGAAGAAUCCAUCCCUGAUGAAGGUGAUAAUAAUGUUUCCAGGGACGCCUGUUCCGGGUGUCUCUCUGCAGUGAACUUGUGAACUCUUUGACUUCCUGCUCUAAGAGGAAGUCUGCUCUCUGAAGUGCUCUGAUGUUUCUCCUCUCUUUACCCAGCUUUUCAGUUGAUUGUGGAGACUUUCCAGAGUUUCCAUUCGUUUUGCCCCUAUCCCGCUGUCUCAGCAACCUAGUAUGAGAGGGAAAAAACCACUAGUAUUUUUACAAUCCAUGUGAAGAUAUAUCAAGCCAGCCAUUCACAGCUGAAUUUCCACAUAACUCCAUGGGUUUGGCAGAAGAACAAAUGUCAAAUUUUGGCAAACAUUUUUGGCAUAGUCCACACUGUGAUAUAAUAGCAAGGCCAUUAAAAGGUUAAAAUAUUUGUAUCUUGGGUAGGCAUAAUACAUCUUUAAUCUCUAAACAUCCCUUACCGUGUAGCUCGUGGUUUGCUACCCUCAAUGUCUACUCCCACUGCAUCUCUCUGCAGGGGUCUUCUGAGGAAUGAUCAGUUAAUAAGGCCACAGGAAGUCUAGCUAUACUUGUCACUUUCUCUGGAUCAGGAAAUGAGGCCUUCUUCUAGCAAAGAAUAAGUGACUCAAGAUGGGGAGCAACAAAUUGAGAAUAAUUGAGAAGUCUUCUGUUGACAGACACAGGAUUUAUCAGUUUAAGGACUAGUUGUCCUUUCAAUCCUGGAUAAAUUCCCAUCUGGCUUGAGUAGUAUGGACUGUUUUUAUUUGUUUGUUUGCUGGAAAAUAAUAUAGAUAUGACUGAGUUUUUAAUAAGCCUCAAUACUUGGAUAAGUACAGAAUGUGACAAGGUUGAAGAUGCUGUAAAUCAUUCCCAAUGAAGGAAAGGAGAGAAGGACAGGUGAACCUGAGUUCAAAGGCAACACACAACUUCCAAGAACUCUUUGAUGGAAGACCUCUUCUGAGAGAGGAAGAUAUUUACAAAUGAGGAGAAAUAUUCUAUAAUAAGAGUGUGCACCAUACAGUAUAGGAGGAUAGAGAAAGAAAUGACUCUUUCUAUGGCUCUGUAGGGGAGUCAGUGGAAGCAUUUGGGCUAAAUGGUGGAUGAGUAGGAUUUGCCAGAAGGGGAAUGGGUGAGAGAGAAUUCCCUGCGGAAGGAACAGCAUACGCAAAGGCACAAAAUUGUGAAGAAACAGGGUGUGUUCAGGGAAAGCCUAGAAUUUGAAAUGGUUUCAGUAUAAUAUACAUGGGAAGUUGGCCAUGAAGGAUCAUGUUGAAUUUUAUCCAUUGAUCAACUAAUGAUGGCUGUGGUUGUUUUGUCCUAUAUAUGUUGAUCAGGUUAUCUAUUUUUUUUUGGAUUUUUAUGCAAAUGGAAUAGCUCAGAAUUACCAGAAUAAAAAAUCAUGUAAACAUAUUUUAAAAUCAAAUAGUGCAAAAAACUUAUAAGAAAAACAAGAGUUCUUUGCCCCAGCCUUCCACAUCCUCAGUCCCGUUCCCCAGAAGCAGCCAUAGUCAACCUUUUGGGAGAACCAUGUCUACCUUCCACCAAAUGCUUGAUCCUUAUCUACCAUAAUAUAAAGUCAGUGCAAUAUGUCUAAAAAUUAGACUAGAGCUGUCCCAGUUCUCCCAAUUGUGGUAUCACAAUUUUUGGUUAAAUCAAUAUUUACAUUAUUACAUAUUUCCCCUUGAGUCAAAAUUAUAUUAUUUUCAUUUGUUUAGUUUUUAUGUACUUCUUGCUAAUUCUCCUCAUAUAUUCCAACAUAUGUAUGCUCCAAAAUGCAAUAUAAUAUCUCAGAUUUAUUUGUUUAUCAUUUAUUUUUUUCCCUUGGUGACAUCCUUUCUGGAAUCUUUUGUCUUCCUGCUUCAGUCUGAGCUGGUUGCUUUCGAGACUUGCUGUAUGACUAUCCUCCUAGGAUUUCUUCCUCCUACUCUUCUGUGUUGGAUCCCCUGAUUCCCUGAUCGCAUAUGUAGUAGUUUUAAAACACAGCUGAAAAUGCUUUGACACUCUUCCCAUCAAUGGUAGUAUCUAUGUCCCCUCCUCUUGAAUCUAGGUGGGCUUGUGGCAGCUUCAAACACUAGAGGAUGGCAGACGAGAUGCUACAUGAUUUUUGAGGCUGGAUCAGAAAAAGCCCUGAAGCCCUGCCUUGUUCACUGGGAACACUUGCUCUAAGAGUCCUGAGCUUCCAUGUACUAAGUCCAACCACUCUGAGACCGCUGCUGGAAGAAUACAUGUAGAUGCUCCAGUAGACGGUCCUACCUGAGCCUGUCCUUCAGCCAUCCCAACCCGGGGGCCAGACACGUGACUGAAGGACCAGCGUGGAAGUAGAUCCUUUAGCUCCUGCUGUUCCAGUCUCCAGCCAUUUGAGUUACUCUCAGGAAUGCGAGUCAUUCCAGCUGAGACCUCAGAUAUUGUGGAGGAGAAAAGAGCUAUCCUUGCUGUGUCCUUUUUGAAUUCCUGACCGCAUAAUAACUUUUUUAUGCCACUACAUAUUUGGGUGGUUUAGUGCACAGCAAAAUAUAACCAGCAAACCAUAUUUUCUUUCCUUCCUUCCUUCUUUCCUUCAUUGUUUUUGUUUGUUUGUUUAUUCUCUUCUUUUGGUAGAAUAUAUCCACCAGUGUUUUUCUGAGAAAGAAUAUAUGGGAGGUAAAUUUUUGAGUAUUUUUCUAUCUGAAAAUGUUAUUUUAACCAUUCAUUUGAUUGAUGCUUUGACAGCUUAUAGAAUUUUUAUUUAACCUUUUAAGAUAUUACUCCUUCGAUUUCUAGUAUCCUAUGUCCCUAUUAAGAGAAACAAGGUCAAUCCAAUUCCUGAUCCUUUGUAUGUUAUCUGCCCACAUUCAUCCCUCCCGAGAAGGUUUUUAUUUUUUUUAAAAAAAUUUCUCCAUUUGCAACAAUGUGGCUGGACCUUGAGGGUAUUAUGUUAAGCAAAAUAAGCCAGACAGAGAAAGACAAACACUGCAUGAUUUCACUCAUAUGUGGAAGAUAAACAAACACAAGGACAAAGAGAACAGAUUAGUGGUUAUCAGAGGCGGGGGAGGGUGGGUGAAACGGGUAAAGGGGCACGUUUAUAUGGUGACAGAUAAAAAUUGGACUAUUGAUGGUGAGCACAAUGCAGUCUAUACAGAAACUGAUAAAUAAUAAUGUACACCUGAAAUUUCACAAUGUUAUAAACUGUUAUGACCUCAAUAAAAAAAAAGUUCUCUUGGUAUGAAAUUUCACAAUGCCUGGAUGUUGCUCAUGUUUCUAUUUAUUUUUGCUGUAUUUAUUUUGCUCUCAGUGAGUUUUAAUCUGGAG